rnacentral:rRNA from 1 species
UACGUAGGGUGCAAGCGUUGUCCGGAAUUAUUGGGCGUAAAGAGCUCGUAGGCGGUUCGUCGCGUCGGCUGUGAAAACCUGAGGCUCAACCUCAGGCCUGCAGUCGAUACGGGCGGACUUGAGUACUGCAGGGGAGACUGGAAUUCCUGGUGUAGCGGUGAAAUGCGCAGAUAUCAGGAGGAACACCGGUGGCGAAGGCGGGUCUCUGGGACGGUACUGACGCUGAGACGCGAAAGCUGGGGGAGCAAACAGG